rnacentral:rRNA from 1 species
ACGCACGCUGGCGGCGUGCUUCACCCCUGCCAGUCGAACGGAAAGGCCCUGCUUUUGUGGGGUGCUCGAGUGGCGAACGGGUGAGUAACACGUGAGUAACCUGCCCUUGACUUUGGGAUAACUUCAGGAAACUGGGGCUAAUACCGGAUAGGAGCUCCUGCUGCAUGGUGGGGGUUGGAAAGUUUCGGCGGUUGGGGAUGGACUCGCGGCUUAUCAGCUUGUUGGUGGGGUAGUGGCUUACCAAGGCUUUGACGGGUAGCCGGCCUGAGAGGGUGACCGGCCACAUUGGGACUGAGAUACGGUCCAGACUCCUACGGGAGGCAGCAGUGGGGAAUAUUGCACAAUGGGCGGAAGCCUGAUGCAGCAACGCCGCGUGCGGGAUGACGGCCUUCGGGUUGUAAACCGCUUUCGCCUGUGACGAAGCGUGAGUGACGGUAAUGGGUAAAGAAGCACCGGCUAACUACGUG